GGAUAGACACCCUCGUGGCGGCAAAAUGGCUGCUCUAGGCCUCAUAGUCACACACCACACCCCCAGGGAGAGAGGCCGUCCUUCCACUGUGUCAGCGUGCAGCCAGGCUUCUUACCCAGAUGCCCCAGAAAUCACCUGUGUGUCAUUCAUGACCCGUCACGGAACCAGUCCCCAGAGCCAGGGCCCAAGCCCAGCAGGUCCCAGUCUUGCAGCUGUGGUGGUCAGCCCAUUUCCCCUGACACCCGUGAACCCAUUGAGGAGUCUGAUAAUCAGAGUACAGUUACCAAGAGGAGGGGGAUGGACGCAGCGGGGCCUAACAUAGCAGGACUUCACUCUAGCACUCACUACUGAUGAAACUGUUAGCUCAGAUUCUUGGGAAUUCAUGAAUUCCCAAGAAUGUCUUUGGCCCAGGUUCUCCUUCUAGAGCUGGAUCCCACAAUGACAGACUCCUGGGCAACCUGUGGCAGCCGUGACUUUUGUAUGUGUGGGGUCGUGUUACCUGCUGUCUCUCAGCGGUGGCUCUGGGGGCCACACGAUCUCAGCUCCAGGUUCCCCAGAAUGCAGCGCAUGAGGCGGUGACUGAAGUGCAGGGCUUUGCUGUGGAUGUGGUCACAGGGAAUGGAGUGGGCGGGGAGGAGGGCAGUGCUGAGAGGCCACGCAGGAGGGGCAGUCUGGUGACCACGCAAGAGGGGACGUCUGGUGGCCAUGCAGGAAGGGUGGUCCAGUGGCCGGGCAGGAGGGGUGGUCAGGUGGCCAUGCAGGAGGGGCGGUCUGGUGGCUAUGCAGGAGGGGCGGUCUGGU
rnacentral:lncRNA from 1 species